rnacentral:rRNA from 1 species
CUACGGGGUGCAGCAGUGAGGAAUUUUGCGCAAUGGGGGGAACCCUGACGCAGCAACGCCGCGUGAGUGAUGAAGGCUUUCGGGUCGUAAAGCUCUGUCAAGUGGGAAGAACCUAUGCAGUGUUAAUAUCACUGUAUACUGACGGUACCACUGAAGGAAGCACCGGCUAACUCCGUGCCAGCAGCCGCGGUAAUACGGGGGGUGCAAGCGUUAUUCGGAAUCAUUGGGCGUAAAGGGCACGUAGGCGGCUUGGUAAGUCAGAGGUGAAAGCCCGGGGCUUAACCCCGGAAGUGCAUUUGAUACUGUCAGGCUUGAGUAUGGGAGAGGGAAGUGGAAUUCCUGGUGUAGAGGUGAAAUUCGUAGAUAUCAGGAGGAACACCGGUGGCGAAGGCGACUUCCUGGACCAAUACUGACGCUGAGGUGCGAAGGCGUGGGUAGCAAACAGGAUUAGAUACCCGUGUAGUC